GACGAACGCUGGCGGCAUGCCUAACACAUGCAAGUCGAACGGAGAUUAUUUCGGUAAUCUUAGUGGCGAACGGGUGAGUAACGCGUGGGCAACCUGCCCUCUAGAUGGGGACAACAUCCCGAAAGGGGUGCUAAUACCGAAUGUGACAGCAAUCUCGCAUGAGGAUGCUGUGAAAGAUGGCCUCUAUUUAUAAGCUAUCGCUAGAGGAUGGGCCUGCGUCUGAUUAGCUAGUUGGUGGGUAACGGCCUACCAAGGCGAUGAUCAGUAGCCGGUCUGAGAGGAUGAACGGCCACAUUGGGACUGAGACACGGCCCAGACUCCUACGGGAGGCAGCAGUGGGGAAUCUUCCGCAAUGGGCGAAAGCCUGACGGAGCAAUGCCGCGUGAGUGAUGAAGGAAUUCGUUCCGUAAAGCUCUUUUGUUUAUGACGAAUGUGCAGAUUGUGAACAAUGAUCUGUAAUGACGGUAGUAAACGAAUAAGCCACGGCUAACUACGUG
rnacentral:rRNA from 1 species